GUCCACGCAGUAAACGAUGAAUGCUGGUUGUCCGGACCGACUGAGGUCUGGGCGGCGAAGCGAAAGCGAUAAGCAUUCCACCUGGGGAGUACGCCGGCAACGGUUAAACUCAAAGGAAUUGACGGGGGCCCGCACAAGCGGAGGAACAUGUGGUUUAAUUCGAUGAUACGCGAGGAACCUUACCCGGGCUCAAACGGGAGCGGAAUUGACCAGAGACGGUCAAGCCUACGGGCCGCUUCCGAGGUGCUGCAUGGUUGUCGU
rnacentral:rRNA from 1 species